rnacentral:tRNA from 1 species
GCCUUUGUGAUGAAAUUGGUAAACAUGCUAGUUUUAGGAACUAGUAUCUUAUGAUUUGUCGGUUCAAGUCCGACCAAAGGCA